GGACUACAAAUCCCAUCAGCCUCAGUUAGCAAAGGUUGUGCUAGCUGAGCCUGAUGGGAUUUGUAUUCC